ACCCAGUGAGCCAUCUCUCCAGCCCUACAAGAUCUGGAAGACUGAUAGAAAGCAAUGUGACAGACAAGGUGGUUUCUGCAGUGUGGAUGCUCACUCGAUGCCUCAGGAACUUUUCAGCCCGAAUGUCAUUGGAC
rnacentral:lncRNA from 1 species